rnacentral:rRNA from 1 species
AAAAACAUGUCUUUUUGUUUAUGAUUUAAGGUCGGGCCUGCCCAAUGAUUUUUAAAUGGCCGCAGUAUUUUGACUGUGCAAAGGUAGCAUAAUCAUUAGUUUCUUAAUUAGGAGCUGGAAUGAAAGGUUUGAUGAAAAACUAACUGUCUCUAUUUUAUUUAAUAUAAUUUUAUUUUUGAGUAAGAAAGCUUAAAUUUUGUAUAAAGACGAGAAGACCCUAUAGAGUUUUAUACAUUACUUUGUUGUAUUUAUUAGGAUUUUUGUUUUUCAAUGAUUUACUGUAUUUUGUUGGGGUGACAAAAAAAUUUAUGUAACUUUUUUUUAUUUAAACGUUUAUUUGCGGUUGUUUGAUCCUUUAUUUUGGAUUAUAAGAUUAAAUUACCUUAGGGAUAACAGCGUUAUUUUUUCUGAAAGUUCUUAUUGAUGAAGAAGUUUGCGACCUCGAUGUUGGAUUAAAAUUUACUUUUGGUGUAGAAGCUAGAGGGUUAGGUCUGUUCGACCUUUAAAAUUUUACAUGAUCU